AGUUUCAUGCAAACAAAUAUGAAAUAAUUUCUGCCCAAUGAUCAUUUUAAUGGCCGCAGUACCCUGACUGUGCUAAGGUAGCAUAAUAAAUUGGCUUUUAAAUGAGGUCUAGAAUGAAUGGAGAUUUAAGUAAAAAUUGUCUUAAGUUAACUAUAUCUAAUUUUUUUAUUAGGUGAAAAGACCUAAGGUAUAUAAGAAAGACGAGAAGACCCUUAGAAUUUUUAAAAGUGAUUGUUUUGACCAUUUACCUUUUUGUUGGGGUGACAUAUUAAUAUAAUAAACUUAUUUUUUAACAAGACAGAAUUUACAAGAAAGAAAAAAUUACCUUAGGGAUAACAGCAUAAUUUUUUCUUUACGAUUAUGACCUCGAUGUUGGACUAGGAACUUAAUAGUUAGAAAUUAAAAUAGAUGGUUCUGUUCGAACUAAACUUCCU
rnacentral:rRNA from 2 species